rnacentral:tRNA from 1 species
GCCCUGGUGGUGCAAUGGUUAAGCACUUGGCUGCUAACUGAAAGGUCGGUGGUUCAAACCCUCCAGGGCC